UAUGAUAAAGAUCGCUGUGAUGGUUGAGAUUCGACUAGCCAUGUUAAUCACAGGUUUUCUUUCUGCCAAUAGAUGGACUUUCCUCCUCCUCCUCCAAUGACUCCAGUUUAAGCCUCACACCAGCCCUCUCCAAAUGCCAAAUGAGGAAAAUCUCCAGUCACAGUGAUCUAGCUGAUGCCCCUGCUUCCCAGGAUCUUGGCCAUGGUGAACUUGACCCACAGAGGGUGGAGGAGUCUUCUCAGGACGGCUCUGAGGAGGACCAGCAGGACAUCGGCUGGGAGAAGGCCAGUCUCACGUCAGCAGAGCUCCCUGCAUCUCAAGCCGGCAGAGCGUCAGUCAUCGGGGAAGAGGGCGGUGGCGGUACACCCACGCUGAGUAGUGAGGAAGCAGGGUCCGGAGAACAGUGCCAAGAAGCUGGUCUGACUUCUACCUUGAGCUGCUUGGCACCCAGAUCAGAAAGCAAGCACGAAGAGUCUUCUGACCUCACCGACUCCAGCAAGCCCGAAGGUCAUGCCGGUUUUGAACACUUCUCGCCCACCGCCGAAGGUGCCUUCUGCUAAAAAUGUGGUAACAGCUGGUCCAGCCCUUAGGUCUUGAAGUCCCAAGAGAGAUUAAGGAGAAGAUAUUGGACCCAGGAGAAAAUUAACAGGUAAAUAAUGCAUGAAGCAGCCUUUAUUAUUGUCUGUGUGAACUUGAGUACCUGGGUCUUCAAGAUCUAGGAGAUAAUUAAUCAAUGGUAUUCAUUAGUGCUUACUGUGCACAGAACUCUGUACUAAGUGCUUGAAUUAAACAGAAGAUACUACACAAAUCUCUUCUAUUUAUGCCUUAAAUAUUCCC
rnacentral:lncRNA from 1 species